CGGUCCAGACUCCUACGGGAGGCAGCAGUAGGGAAUCUUCCGCAAUGGACGAAAGUCUGACGGAGCAACGCCGCGUGAGUGAUGAAGGUUUUCGGAUCGUAAAACUCUGUUGUUAGGGAAGAACAAGUACCGUUCGAAUAGGGCGGUACCUUGACGGUACCUAACCAGAAAGCCACGGCUAACUACGUGCCAGCAGCCGCGGUAA
rnacentral:rRNA from 1 species